ACCAGUUUGUUCAGGUCAGACUGACUCUGGGUUUUUCUUUGUCUUCAGAUGAUGUUGAACUUCCUGUUCAUACUUAAAUUGUUGCAUGCUUCUUUUUUUUUUUUAGAAAUUCACUAAAUAAUCCUGCUUGGUGUCAUCUACCCACCUGGACCUGGAAGGCAGGUGUCUGACUGGUGAACAUAUUGCAACUCAGCCCCAGUACCCAGACUCAAAACUGGUAUCGAGACUUGGACCAGUAUCACGACUCCCAGGCACCACUGAUAUGACUCUGAUCAGUGUCUAGGCUCUGCCCCAGUAAUAUGACUCGGACCAGCGCUGAGCCUCUCAGGCCUCAAAAUCAAGACCCUGUCCCAGUCUCCAGACUCAGACCAGUUUCAAGACUCUCAGUUUCAAGACUCUCAGGCCCCAGUAUCAAGACUCUGACUAGUGUCAAGACUCUCAGGCCUCAGUAUCAAGACUCGGACCAGUAUCAAGUCUCUCAGGCCUUAGUUUCAAGACUCUGCCCCAGUUUCCAGAGUCAGACCAGUGUCAAGACUCUCAGGGCUUAGUUUCAAGACUCUGCCCUGGUUUAGAGUCAGACCAGUAUCAAGGCUCUUGGGCCCCAAUAAUAUGACUCGCACCAGUGUCAAGAUUCUGAGGCCUUGGUAUCAAGACUUAGUCCCAGUAUCAAGACUCAGGACCAGUAUCAAGACUGUCAGGCCCCAGUAUUGCUGAUAAGGAAGCAGAGCGAACGGGAAAAGCAGCGGCUGAUCUGUACAUUAUUGCAUCAUGAUGACAUCAUCGGACAGAGGAGGAAGUUCAGCUGCGGAGGUUAAAUCAGCAUCAUCGACAUUUGAUUUGACACUACGUCUUCGUUUUCCAUGUUUGCACGUUGAUGACAAACCGCAGAUGAGAGCUGCUGCACCGUGAGACCAAAAUACUGCAUAGAUAAACACACACACACACACACACACACACACACACACACACACACACACACACACACAUAAUAAACCUGUUUGUUCAUUAUUGGAAGACUGAGACGCUUCAAGUUCUUCAGGAGGAGGCAGGAAGACGGACAAGAAAACAUCGACCAUUAGAAACCACAGAAAACAACCACCGGAGAAAAAUUUACUUUCUGCAUGAAAUAUUAUUAUUUCUGAUUUUUUUUUUUUUGAUCCACUCUUCCUUAAAAUGUCUUUUCAUAGUCGUGGCUUUAGCGUGAUGUUUUUUAGCACUUCUAUCUAAACAAAUCCAAAAUGAUAUACAUUUGUAUGCAUGUGUAUGUGUAUACGUAUGUGUGUAUAUAUAUUUCACAUCUAUUUGUUUAUGUAUUUAUAAGUUGUGUUUAAAUAAGGAAGCAUAUGCAGGAUUAUUAGCUAAUGAAUAUUGGAGAGGGAGUAGGAUUAGGUUUGUAUGUUUACCGUCAUGAAAAAAAGUACAUGUUCAAAAUAAAGAUUUCUAUCAAAAUAAUAUCAAUCAAAAAUGUUUAGAUUAUUGCUUAUGAAAUAAUAACUUUUGUGGUCUCUGUAUGUGUAAAUGUUCAGUACUUGGUUCACAAGAUUAAUACACAAUUUUAAGCUCUUAGAAAGUGCUUUGAAAUGUAACUUAAUUAAUUAAAUAACAGCUUAGAAGUCUGUGUCUUUUUAUAUUUACAAAAACAGAAGCUGUGGAACUACUAAAAUUUGUAUUUAGCAGGUGUGACCUCAGAUAGUCUGUAGUUCGACAAUUUGAUCUAAAGAGAAUAAUAUGAAUUUGUUUUCAAUGAUUGUUUCAUGAGGAGCCGAAUGUCAGAUUUUACUUAGAAAUGUUUGGUUCCUCCCAAUAAAUCAUAAUAUAUUACCUAUUUUGGCAUAAAUUUAUCAGUCAGAGCACUCACAUAACAACAUCAUGAUUUUUUAAAUAUUGUUUUUUAAUUGUUAAGCAAUUUUCGACUUUACGAACAGCUGUGUUAAAAUUAGCAUGGGGAGGCACGUAGAAGCAGUUGUUCGUGGCUUGCAUAUCUCUCUCUGUAUGUUUGCACCGUCUGUCUAUCGAGCAUCAAUCGUGUCCACUUGUGAAAAUGAGAUUAUGGACCAAUAAACAAAAUCUCCUCCCCAAAAACAAAAUAAGACGUGACUAUCAGUUGAUGAUAGGCAAGAAAUCAGAUUCACCUAUGUGGAUUUUUAGUCAUGAACUCCCCUUCUUUUAUCUUUUGAAUUUUUA